GAUGAACGCUGGCGGCGUGCUUAACACAUGCAAGUCGAGCGAGAAGUUUUGAAAAGAUUCUUCGGAUGAAAUUUAAAACGGAAAGCGGCGGACGGGUGAGUAACGCGUAGGCAACCUGCCCCAUACAAAGGGAUAGCAUUUGGAAACGAAUAUUAAUACCUUAUGAAACUUAACUAGUGCAUGCUAGGUAGGUCAAAGAUUUAUCGGUAUGGGAUGGGCCUGCGUCUGAUUAGCUAGUUGGUGAGGUAACGGCUCACCAAGGCGACGAUCAGUAGCCGACCUGAGAGGGUGAACGGCCACAUUGGAACUGAGACACGGUCCAAACUCCUACGGGAGGCAGCAGUGGGGAAUAUUGCACAAUGGGGGAAACCCUGAUGCAGCAACGCCGCGUGAACGAUGAAGGCCUUUGGGUCGUAAAGUUCUGUUCUAGGUGAUGAAAACUGACAGUAACCUAGGAGAAAGCCCCGGCUAACUCCGUG
rnacentral:rRNA from 1 species